AAGUGCUCUGCCUGCCUCAGCUUCCCAAAGUGCUGGCAUGAGCCACCGAGCCUGGCCUGAAUUUUUUAAAUGCACUUUUUUCUCAUUCACAGCAGCCAUUAAAUUCAAAAUACUUUUAUAGAUCAAUUCCAUAUAGUAAUUUUAAGGUGUACUUUGCCUUUCCUGGGUGAGAGUUACAUCUCUAUAUAAAUGAAACAGUAAGUCAUGGGCUUUCUCGUGUGAACACUAAGUGACUUGGCAAUGUACCGUGUUGUUGUGAGUACAUUGAUAAUACCGAGAUAAAUUCUGUUUUUCAGUCUUCAUGUCAUCACUGAUGAGGGAGAACCCUCAGCUUGACAGUCUAAGUGCACAGGCUGGGUUGUCCCCUCGUGGCCCUUAUGAUGCAGGAGAGAGAGGAAAAUUCUUCGAGAGAGACACUGGAGAAAGCAAGAGAGGAUGAGCAGAUAUUUGGGCAGAUUAUCUUGUGGGAAGAACAAUCAAAUGCAAAGGUAAUGGAGGAAGGAGUAUACUUGAUAUGAUAUAUUACACACUAAUAUAAUAUUUUUGCCAUUAAAAGUGAUGGCAAGAAGAGCAAUUACUUUUGCACCAACCUAAUAUAACACACUAGUGGCAAAUACACUAGCAAGAAGGCUAGUGUGACAGAAGCAGAGUGAUCACACAGAGUGGCAGGACAUGAGAUCAGAGAAAGAUCAAAAGGCCAGUUAACAUAGGGCCCUAUAGGGCAUUGCAUGGAUAUUGGCUAUGGCCCUGAGUAAGAUUUGAGGAUUUUGGAAAAGGAGUCACAUGAUUUCACAUUUUAUAAGAAUUACUCUGGGUACCAUGUUAAACUGGACCACAGAAAAACAAGAGAAAGCAGGGAGACUUGUUAGUACAUUUGCAAUAAAACAGGUGGAAAAUAGUUAUACCUUGGAUAAGGAUGUAGUAAUGAAGUUAUUGGGAAGAAUUUGAAUUCCGUGUAUAUUUUGAAAGUAGAACCACUAGGAUUUUCUCAUAGACUAGAUGUGGAAUAUGAUGGGAAGCAAUAAUAAGGUAUGUGAGAAAAGUCUGCAGGAGGGGGAGUUUAAGGGAGAACAAUUGGAAGCUUGAUUUUGUACUUGUGACACUUGCGGUGCCUAUUAGACAGCUUACAAGUUUAUAGCUGAUUAUAUAAAGUACUUACUCUGUUCCAGGCAGUUUUAAGUGCCUAAUCAACAUUAAUUCAUUUAAUCUUCACUACAACCCAGUAAAUGAGGUAUUUGGAAUUUAUGUGUCCUCAGUUCUUAAUAGGAUUUAAAACCACGAGACUGAAUGAGAUCACCAAGAAAGUAAGUGUAGAUGGAGAAAAGAAGACCAAGGACUGAGGUAGAAGCACUCUGAUACUUAGCAUUUAGGGACAUCACGGGACACCAACAAAGGAAAUUGAGAAAGAGUGGCCCAUAAUGGAGGAGGUAAAUGAGUGUCCCAGGAAUCAAGUGAAGUUAAGUGGAUCAGGAAAGAUGAAGCAUCAUGGUGUCAAAGCUACUGACAUUUCAA